rnacentral:rRNA from 1 species
UACAGAGGGUGCAAGCGUUAAUCGGAGUUACUGGGCGUAAAGGGCGCGUAGGUUGUAGAAUAAGUUUUUUGUGAAAUCCCCGGGCUUAACCUGGGAACUGCAGAGAAUACUGUUUUACUAGAGUACUGUAGAGGGUAGUGGAAUUUCCGGUGUAGCGGUGAAAUGCGUAGAGAUCGGAAGGAACACCAGUGGCGAAGGCGAAUCUCUGGACAGUUACUGACACUGAGGCACGAAGGCCAGGGGAGCAAACGGG